rnacentral:lncRNA from 1 species
AGCAACUAUAGGUCACUGUUCAGUGUUUUAUUUACAAAGAGUAAAAAUUAUUCCUUAUUAAAGGCCGAUAAUGUAAAAACAUUUAAACAAGAAAACCAACUACCUGAUUUUUAUCAAGAAAACAAAUCUCAAACAAAUAUGAUAAAACAGCAACCAAUAAAACUCAAUUACAGACACAAGACUUUGAACUCAGACAUCAAGUAUAUAUAACACAUUUACCAGAAUUUCAAUGAACCCUGCAAAAGUCAGUUUUGUUACUUCCCACA